UAGUAAAUCCUUUGUAGCUACGAGGACAUGAAAGAGACAAAUGCAGAGCCGGCGGUGAGUGAACAGACAAAAAAGAAAGAAAAUAAAACGAAAGAGAGAAUGAAAUAAUUCAGUUCACUCUACAGCUUGAUUAUCAAAAGCAAUCUCAAUUUCUGUUUUGAUUGCUCGCUAAUUUCAUGUCAAGAGUUGGGCUCGCCUUUACAUUCUUCUACUGUUCAGAAUCAGGCUAGACCAAGCAUCCUACGUUGGAUACAUUGGCAACUCGCUGCAGCCUAUUGAGAAAAUUGAGGAGCCUGGAAUUGGACGUUGUGUUGUUGUAGAGUCAGAAAACAGAGCAGAAGAAUGGAAAAUGAGGAAGAUAAAGCUAGAAGUAGCUGCAGAAGCGAAAAUAUAGACAGAUUGAGUGAUCUACCUGAUAGCAUAAUUCAUAAAAUUCUAUCCUUGGUUGACCUCAGAUGUGCUGUCCAGACAAGUGUACUGUCCAAAAGGUGGAGAUUCUUGUGGACUUCACUUACUGAUCUCAAUUUCAAUGGAACCUGUAUGGAUUUCACGAACUUCUUAACUUUCAAUAGAUUUGUGAGUAGGGUACUAUCUACCCGUGAGGACAGCAAUGUUUACAAGAUUCAACUCUAUUCCACUUGGAGCCCCCAUCAUUCUCUCUUGGAUAUGGUCAUAAAAUAUGCAGUUUCCCAUCACAUUCAGAAUAUGGUCAUUAAUUAUGGUCAUUCCACUAUCCGAUCUUUCUCUUUACCUCCUGCAUUUUUAACAUGUCAAUCGUUGAAAACCAAUUAUCUGGAUUCAAUUUUAAAGCUUUGGGUUUUGCUCUCCCGAAUCUCAUCUCCUUGAGUCUCUCCCACUGUUCAUUUACCAAUCCCAGUGAUUUCGAUGAUCCUUUUGCUAGUUGCCUGAAAUUAAAAAAUCUAAGCCUACGCUCUUGCAGUUUUCUGUCGUCAAAGGUCUUGAAAAUAUCUGGGCUCCAGUUACUUAACCUAGAAAUUGUAGGCCUUGGAUAUAUGAAUCUAGCAGGAUUACUGUAUAGGAUUGAUAUUUUUGCACCAAAGCUCAUCUCUUUCGUCUACAAACUCUCUCAUGUAGUGGAUUUCUCUGGACUCCACCUUCCCUCCCUUAAUUUUGCCCGUGUUCAUGUUUGUACCAAGCAAGACAAGAAGAAAGAGGCGUAUCUGGGCUUGAUCAAUAUGUUCAAAGGGCUUGGCAAUGCUCAAUCAGUCAUGCUACAUUCUCAAACCAUUGAGGUCCUUGGUUCAUUUCCUGGUUUACUAGAACAAGAACCUUCUCCUUUUAAAAGAUUGAAGUCUUUGCAAGUUGCCCCCAACAAUAAACCUUUGGUGCCUCCUCAUGUGAUGACCUACUUACUUGGUGGCACUCCUCACGCCAAAACUAUAUAUGCAGAUUACCUAUAGGUGGAGCUUGAUGUUUGAUACAGCUGCAUCAACACCAGGAGUAAGUUGAUUCUGCUUACUUUGCUUGUUUGAGCAGAGAGGCUUAUGAAGCAAAGGCAUAUAAAGCAGUAUACAGCAGCCAAAAGGAUGAUAUGAGAAAGUGCCCACUGCUGUUCAAUGGAAUUCAUCUGACGCAAUGUGCAUGGGUUUUUUUUUCUUUUAAUCUUAUGAAGUUGUGUACUGGUGGUAAGAACUAAAACUGAACCAUAUUUGUUGGCACACUCAAAACCUCCAGUUUAAUCUGUGUUUCCAUGAAAUAGGAAGGAUUGUUUUGCUACAA